rfam:Picea glauca, whole genome shotgun sequence.
AUGUGAUUUAUGCCCAGUUCUCUGCAUUUGAAAGUGAAGAAAUUCAACCAAUCACGGGUAAAUGAUGGGAGUAACUAUGACUCUUUUAAGAUAGUCAGUUGCCUUUGUAUCAUCUAAUUAGUAACAUGCAUGAAUGGAUUAAUGAGAUUCCCACUGUCCCAAGCUACUCUCUAGAGAAACCACAACCAAGAGAAUGAGCUUGGUAGAAUUAGAGGGGAAAUAAGAUCCUGUUGAUCUUGAAUCUAGUAUGACUUUGUGAAAUGACUUGAGAGGUGUAGAAUAAGUGGGAUUUGUUUUCAACGCAAGUGAAAUACCACUAAUUUUAAUGUUAUUUUAUUUAUUUUGUGGGGCAUAGAUGAGGCUGCAUUGCACAUAUGUUAAAAGAUAAUGCACAUUUCCUCAAAGUGUUGUCAUUGAUGCUAAUGGUCGAAAUCUCAUUCUUCACACACUUGGUGGAAACGAGUUUAGGAAACCAAAGAAGAUCAUUGCUUUUAAGGAUGAAGAAAGCUCCUACAAUCCCUAUGUUUUUAGCCAACAUCCCCCUAUAAGU